rnacentral:rRNA from 1 species
GAUGAACGCUGGCGGCGUGCCUAAUACAUGCAAGUCGAGCGAACAGACGAGAAGCUUGCUCCUUUGAUGUUAGCGGCGGACGGGUGAGUAACACGUGGAUAACCUACCGAUAAGACUGGGAUAACUUCGGGAAACCGGAGCUAAUACCAGAUCACAUGAUCAACCGCUUUGUUCAACAGAGAAAGACGGUCUUGCUGUUACUUAUAGAUGGAUCCGCGCCUCAUUAGCUAGUUGGUAAGGUAACGCCUUACCAAGGCAACGAUUCGUAGCCGACCUGAGAGGAUGAUCGGCCACACUGGAACUGAGACACGGUCCAGACUCCUACGGGAGGCAGCAGUAGGGAAUCUUCCGCAAUGGGCGAAAGCCUGACGGAGCAACGCCGCGUGAGUGAAGAAGGUCUUCGGAUCGUAAAGCCCUUUUAUUAGGGAAGAACAAAUGUGUAAGUAAAUAUGCACGUCUUGACGGUACCUAAUCAGAAAGCCACGGCUAACUACGUG